rnacentral:rRNA from 1 species
UUAAGCGACUAAGCGUACACGGUGGAUGCCCUGGCAGUCAGAGGCGAUGAAGGACGUGCUAAUCUGCGAUAAGCGUCGGUAAGGUGAUAUGAACCGUUAUAACCGGCGAUUUCCGAAUGGGGAAACCCAGUGUGAUUCGUCACACUAUCAUUAACUGAAUCCAUAGGUUAAUGAGGCGAACCGGGGGAACUGAAACAUCUAAGUACCCCGAGGAAAAGAAAUCAACCGAGAUUCCCCCAGUAGCGGCGAGCGAACGGGGAGGAGCCCAGAGCCUGAAUCAGUGUGUGUGUUAGUGGAAGCGUCUGGAAAGGCGCGCGAUACAGGGUGACAGCCCCGUACACAAAAAUGCACAUACUGUGAGCUCGAUGAGUAGGGCGGGACACGUGGUAUCCUGUCUGAAUAUGGGGGGACCAUCCUCCAAGGCUAAAUACUCCUGACUGACCGAUAGUGAACCAGUACCGUGAGGGAAAGGCGAAAAGAACCCCGGCGAGGGGAGUGAAAAAGAACCUGAAACCGUGUACGUACAAGCAGUGGGAGCCUCUUUUAUGGGGUGACUGCGUACCUUUUGUAUAAUGGGUCAGCGACUUAUAUUCUGUAGCAAGGUUAACCGAAUAGGGGAGCCGAAGGGAAACCGAGUCUUAACUGGGCGUUAAGUUGCAGGGUAUAGACCCGAAACCCGGUGAUCUAGCCAUGGGCAGGUUGAAGGUUGGGUAACACUAACUGGAGGACCGAACCGACUAAUGUUGAAAAAUUAGCGGAUGACUUGUGGCUGGGGGUGAAAGGCCAAUCAAACCGGGAGAUAGCUGGUUCUCCCCGAAAGCUAUUUAGGUAGCGCCUCGUGAAUUCAUCUCCGGGGGUAGAGCACUGUUUCGGCAAGGGGGUCAUCCCGACUUACCAACCCGAUGCAAACUGCGAAUACCGGAGAAUGUUAUCACGGGAGACACACGGCGGGUGCUAACGUCCGUCGUGAAGAGGGAAACAACCCAGACCGCCAGCUAAGGUCCCAAAGUCAUGGUUAAGUGGGAAACGAUGUGGGAAGGCCCAGACAGCCAGGAUGUUGGCUUAGAAGCAGCCAUCAUUUAAAGAAAGCGUAAUAGCUCACUGGUCGAGUCGGCCUGCGCGGAAGAUGUAACGGGGCUAAACCAUGCACCGAAGCUGCGGCAGCGACACUAUGUGUUGUUGGGUAGGGGAGCGUUCUGUAAGCCUGUGAAGGUGUACUGUGAGGUAUGCUGGAGGUAUCAGAAGUGCGAAUGCUGACAUAAGUAACGAUAAAGCGGGUGAAAAGCCCGCUCGCCGGAAGACCAAGGGUUCCUGUCCAACGUUAAUCGGGGCAGGGUGAGUCGACCCCUAAGGCGAGGCCGAAAGGCGUAGUCGAUGGGAAACAGGUUAAUAUUCCUGUACUUGGUGUUACUGCGAAGGGGGGACGGAGAAGGCUAUGUUGGCCGGGCGACGGUUGUCCCGGUUUAAGCGUGUAGGCUGGUUUUCCAGGCAAAUCCGGAAAAUCAAGGCUGAGGCGUGAUGACGAGGCACUACGGUGCUGAAGCAACAAAUGCCCUGCUUCCAGGAAAAGCCUCUAAGCAUCAGGUAACAUCAAAUCGUACCCCAAACCGACACAGGUGGUCAGGUAGAGAAUACCAAGGCGCUUGAGAGAACUCGGGUGAAGGAACUAGGCAAAAUGGUGCCGUAACUUCGGGAGAAGGCACGCUGAUAUGUAGGUGAAGUCCCUCGCGGAUGGAGCUGAAAUCAGUCGAAGAUACCAGCUGGCUGCAACUGUUUAUUAAAAACACAGCACUGUGCAAACACGAAAGUGGACGUAUACGGUGUGACGCCUGCCCGGUGCCGGAAGGUUAAUUGAUGGGGUCAGCGCAAGCGAAGCUCUUGAUCGAAGCCCCGGUAAACGGCGGCCGUAACUAUAACGGUCCUAAGGUAGCGAAAUUCCUUGUCGGGUAAGUUCCGACCUGCACGAAUGGCGUAAUGAUGGCCAGGCUGUCUCCACCCGAGACUCAGUGAAAUUGAACUCGCUGUGAAGAUGCAGUGUACCCGCGGCAAGACGGAAAGACCCCGUGAACCUUUACUAUAGCUUGACACUGAACAUUGAGCCUUGAUGUGUAGGAUAGGUGGGAGGCUUAGAAGUGUGGACGCCAGUCUGCAUGGAGCCGACCUUGAAAUACCACCCUUUAAUGUUUGAUGUUCUAACGUUGACCCGUGAUCCGGGUUGCGGACAGUGUCUGGUGGGUAGUUUGACUGGGGCGGUCUCCUCCUAAAGAGUAACGGAGGAGCACGAAGGUUGGCUAAUCCUGGUCGGACAUCAGGAGGUUAGUGCAAUGGCAUAAGCCAGCUUGACUGCGAGCGUGACGGCGCGAGCAGGUGCGAAAGCAGGUCAUAGUGAUCCGGUGGUUCUGAAUGGAAGGGCCAUCGCUCAACGGAUAAAAGGUACUCCGGGGAUAACAGGCUGAUACCGCCCAAGAGUUCAUAUCGACGGCGGUGUUUGGCACCUCGAUGUCGGCUCAUCACAUCCUGGGGCUGAAGUAGGUCCCAAGGGUAUGGCUGUUCGCCAUUUAAAGUGGUACGCGAGCUGGGUUUAGAACGUCGUGAGACAGUUCGGUCCCUAUCUGCCGUGGGCGCUGGAGAACUGAGGGGGGCUGCUCCUAGUACGAGAGGACCGGAGUGGACGCAUCACUGGUGUUCGGGUUGUCAUGCCAAUGGCACUGCCCGGUAGCUAAAUGCGGAAGAGAUAAGUGCUGAAAGCAUCUAAGCACGAAACUUGCCCCGAGAUGAGUUCUCCCUGACUCCUUGAGAGUCCUGAAGGAACGUUGAAGACGACGACGUUGAUAGGCCGGGUGUGUAAGCGCAGCGAUGCGUUGAGCUAACCGGUACUAAUGAACCGUGAGGCUUAACCUU